GGAUAGUGGAAUCUAUCCAGGGACUGCAGAGAUAACUAGCUUCUCCACCAACUUCAGCAAUAACCAGAACAAUGUGGGGGAGGAUGAGUAUUCUAAUCCCUUAAUAGCAGAUGUCAUGCCACUUGGCUUUCUUGCCCUUUGUGUUUCAGCAAAAGCCAACGGUCAUACCCAAUGGCCGCCUGCCUGGCAGAUUUCAUAGCAGGAAGAGAGCUAAGGUGCAGGAAGAGAAGAUAUGAAUGGAUACCUCUCCCCCAUGCCUUGAAUGCUUCAACUUGGAGGGAUGCUUUUUGAAAUCACUCAGCUUGGGUGAAACUGGAUACCUGAGGAAGGUGGCAAAGAGGAUCAGGAAAGAAGAGAAGGAAGGUGGAACACUGAAGCAUAGACUACCUUCAACAGGAUUGGUUGAUGGUGAAAACCAUUACGAAGCAUGUAUACCUGAAUCCCUGAAUCGCUGUGUUGUACAGCAGAAAUUAUCACAACAUUGUACAUCAACUGCACUUCAAUAAAACUUUAAAAAAUGAGCAAAAAAGCACUCUUUUAGCAGCUG
rnacentral:lncRNA from 1 species